AUCCGAGCACUGGUUAUGUGACCAAGUGCAAGGUGGAGCAGAGGAGCCUAAGAGAGAGGAUUCCCCUGGGGCAUUCUUUUUAAUACAGGAAGUUACUUACUCAUAUUGGGAGUGGUGUUCCCUCUGCUUUUUAAAACUAUAAAGACAGAGCUCUUCCAUCAGCUCUAGACUGAAGUUACCCAGCAUCAAAUGGAACACAAUGGCCCACAAGACUAGGCUGACACACACCAAACGAAUGGUUAUCCGGCUACAAGGCAAAGUGGGUGAUGGACCAAAUAGAGGGCUCUUUUGAAGAUUCUGGAUCUGUCUCGCCCCUCCUUCCUUCACCAGAGAAAUCCAAGGUGAUGAUAAGACGAUGUGGUCGACUAUAAAAACUGUACCCCAGCUGUUCGAGGCUGCACUCUGACCAAGAUCAAGAGUGUCAGUCCUGAUCCGUCAGCCUUGCCACUCGUUGCAAUAAACUUUGCUGUGACAGUCA